GCCCGCUUAGCUCAGUGGUAGAGCGCGCCACUCGUACUACAAUAUGGCACGAGCGCACAACGCAAUGGUGAGGUCGGUUGUUCAAACCAGCCAGCGGGCA